rnacentral:lncRNA from 1 species
AAUAACAAUAUAUCAUGAAAUAACUAAUUAAAUGCUAAUAUCUAUCUUGAUCCACUCCUAUGCUCCUGCAUCAGACUCCCAUGGUUGGAAAGAAUUCGUCUUCGAAUUCAAGCCUUUGAUUGAGGAAAAUAGAAUCUUCAAUUGCUUCAUAUUAAUUCUGGAUCUUUUAGCAUCCAAUUGAAACCUUCCUUUCCAAAUAAAAAGAUAUUUGGAAUAUUUCAUUCUUCUUGGCUUCUUCUUAGUCCCUC